rnacentral:piRNA from 1 species
UCAUUUUUCAGACUAGGAAUGUACAAGGG